rnacentral:lncRNA from 1 species
GUAAAUAAUAAAUAGGGCAAACUUCAAAAUACCAUAUCUGUUGUUUCGUCCCUUCUCACUUUAGUAUCUUAUAAUUUGAAAUGUAUUAAUUUAGUAUUAUUUAGUUUUAUUUUUUUCUUUUUGUCAGUCUUUUUGUUAAUAUUUUGUUAAAUUAUAUACAAAAAAUUUCAAAUACCCACCUAACUUUAUUGAAUAUUCACUUUAGUAUUCUUUAGUUUAACUUUGCCGCUGAUUUAAGAAAAAAAAUUUGAAAUUAAUAAUAAAAAGAAAAAAAAGGAAACCACAUGUCACUAAAUUGAUACACUUUAAACCACAUGGUACUAAAGUGAGAAAGUGCGAAAUCACAGAAGUGGUAUUUAAAAUAUUUUCUAAUAAAUAUGCAAUGUAGUUU